rnacentral:rRNA from 1 species
UACGUAGGGUGCAAGCGUUAAUCGGAAUUACUGGGCGUAAAGCGUGCGCAGGCGGUUAUGUAAGACAGAUGUGAAAUGCCCGGGCUUAACCUGGGAACUGCAUUUGUGACUGCAUGGCUAGAGUGUGUCAGAGGGGGGUAGAAUUCCACGUGUAGCAGUGAAAUGCGUAGAUAUGUGGAGGAAUACCGAUGGCGAAGGCAGCCUCCUGGGCCAACACUGACGCUCAUGCACGAAAGCGUGGGGAGCAAACAGG